rnacentral:rRNA from 2 species
GUCGCAAGACCAAAGAGGGGGACCUUCGGGCCUCUUGCCAUCAGAUGUGCCCAGAUGGGAUUAGCUUGUUGGUGAGGUAACGGCUCACCAAGGCGACGAUCCCUAGCUGGUCUGAGAGGAUGACCAGCCACACUGGAACUGAGACACGGUCCAGACUCCUACGGGAGGCAGCAGUGGGGAAUAUUGCACAAUGGGCGCAAGCCUGAUGCAGCCAUGCCGCGUGUAUGAAGAAGGCCUUCGGGUUGUAAAGUACUUUCAGCGGGGAGGAAGGUGUUGUGGUUAAUAACCGCAGCAAUUGACGUUACCCGCAGAAGAAGCACCGGCUAACUCCGUGCCAGCAGCCGCGGUAAUACGGAGGGUGCAAGCGUUAAUCGGAAUUACUGGGCGUAAAGCGCACGCAGGCGGUCUGUCAAGUCGGAUGUGAAAUCCCCGGGCUCAACCUGGGAACUGCAUUCGAAACUGGCAGGCUUGAGUCUUGUAGAGGGGGGUAGAAUUCCAGGUGUAGCGGUGAAAUGCGUAGAGAUCUGGAGGAAUACCGGUGGCGAAGGCGGCCCCCUGGACAAAGACUGACGCUCAGGUGCGAAAGCGUGGGGAGCAAACAGGAUUAGAUACCCUGGUAGUCCACGCCGUAAACGAUGUCUACUUGGAGGUUGUGCCCUUGAGGCGUGGCUUCCGGAGCUAACGCGUUAAGUAGACCGCCUGGGGAGUACGGCCGCAAGGUUAAAACUCAAAUGAAUUGACGGGGGCCCGCACAAGCGGUGGAGCAUGUGGUUUAAUUCGAUGCAACGCGAAGAACCUUACCUGGUCUUGACAUCCACGGAAGUUUUCAGAGAUGAGAAUGUGCCUUCGGGAACCGUGAGACAGGUGCUGCAUGGCUGUCGUCAGCUCGUGUUGUGAAAUGUUGGGUUAAGUCCCGCAACGAGCGCAACCCUUAUCCUUUGUUGCCAGCGGUCCGGCCGGGAACUCAAAGGAGACUGCCAGUGAUAAACUGGAGGAAGGUGGGGAUGACGUCAAGUCAUCAUGGCCCUUACGACCAGGGCUACACACGUGCUACAAUGGCGCAUACAAAGAGAAGCGACCUCGCGAGAGCAAGCGGACCUCAUAAAGUGCGUCGUAGUCCGGAUUGGAGUCUGCAACUCGACUCCAUGAAGUCGGAAUCGCUAGUAAUCGUGGAUCAGAAUGCCACGGUGAAUACGUUCCCGGGCCUUGUACACACCGCCCGUCACACCAUGGGAGUGGGUUGCAAAAGAAGUAGGUAGCUUAACCUUCGGGAGGGCGCUUACCACUUUGUGAUUCAUGACUGGGGUGAAGUCGUAACAAGGUAACCGUAGGGGAACCUGCGGUUGGAUCACCUCCUUACCUUAAAGAAGC